rnacentral:rRNA from 1 species
UACGUAGGGGGCAAGCGUUGUCCGGAAUCAUUGGGCGUAAAGAGCUCGUAGGCGGCUCAGUAAGUCGGGUGUGAAACCUCCAGGCUCAACCUGGAGACGCCACCCGAUACUGCUGUGGCUAGAGUCCAGUAGGGGAGUGUGGAAUUCCCGGUGUAGCGGUGAAAUGCGCAGAUAUCAGGAGGAACACCAAUUGCGAAGGCAGCUCGCUGGGACGUCACUGACGCUGAGACGCGAAAGCCAGGGGAGCAAACGGG